UGAGGAAUUUUGCGCAAUGGGAGCAAUCCUGACGCAGCAACGCCGCGUGGGUGAUGAAGGCCUUCGGGUCGUAAAGCCCUGUCAGGUGGGAAGAAUGUCCCGGGACUGAACAGGUUCCGGGAGUGACGGUACCACCAGAGGAAGCACCGGCUAACUCCGUGCCAGCAGCCGCGGUAAUACGGAGGGUGCAAGCGUUAUUCGGAAUUACUGGGCGUAAAGAGCGUGUAGGCGGUCCUGCAAGUCUGAUGUGAAAGCCCCGGGCUUAACCCGGGAAGUGCAUUGGAAACUGUGGGACUUGAGUUCUGGAGAGGAUGGGUGAAUUCCCGGUGUAGAGGUGAAAUUCGUAGAGAUCGGGAGGAAUAUCAGUGGCGAAGGCGCCCAUCUGGACGGUAACUGACUCUGAGACGCGAAAGCGUGGGGAGCAAACA
rnacentral:rRNA from 1 species